rnacentral:rRNA from 1 species
GACGAACGCUGGCGGCGUGCUUAACACAUGCAAGUCGAGCGGAAAGGCCCUUCGGGGUACUCGAGCGGCGAACGGGUGGGUAACACGUGAGUAACCUGCCCCAGACUUUGGGAUAACCCUCGGAAACGGGGGCUAAUACCGGAUACGACACAGCUUCGCAUGGGGUCUGUGUGGAAAGUUUUUCGGUUUGGGAUGGGCUCGCGGCCUAUCAGCUUGUUGGUGGGGUGAUGGCCUACCAAGGCGACGACGGGUAGCCGGCCUGGGAGGGCGACCGGCCACACUGGGACUGAGACACGGCCCAGACUCCUACGGGAGGCAGCAGGGGGGAAUAUUGCUCAAUGGGCGGAAGCCUGAUGCAGCGACGCCGCGUGAGGGAUGACGGCCUUCGGGUUGUAAACCUCUUUCAGCAGGGACGAAGCGUAAGUGACGGUACCUGCAGAAGAAGCGCCGGCCAACUACGUG